CUGUAAUAUGCACAGUUAAAACAACUUGUCCUCUCAGGACCUUUUGCAGUUAGGGUUGGUCGUAUGACAUGGUCCUGCGAAGAAGAUACGGAUAGAAGUCUGUGGGCCACCAGUGGAUUGAAUGAUGCCCGUAUGCACUGAGAAGGGCCAUGUGUUUACUCGGUCUACCAAUUCAAAUGUUAAUCUCAUCCAAAAACACCCUCACAGAUACCUUUGGAAUGAUGUUUAACCAAAUAUUUGGGUACCGUCUUCCCCAGUGAAGUUGACACAAAAUUAACCAUCACAGCUGCCUUCCUGUGGGCCUCAUGUUAUAUGAGAACAGUAUUGGUGCAGGUUCUUCAGCUUUGCUGGAGUACGUAUCGACUUUGCUGGGAGCAUGACUUUGUGCAAGGCAUAAAGGUUAUACCUCUGCAGCUCUUCUACUUUGUCUCUGCCAUCUCUGACCACUCAACUCAGGUGUACACUUAAAGCGUUCUGGGAAUAUGAAUCCCUUCUGCACCCUGGAAUCACCAGUCCAGCCAUGCAUGGAGCUGGGGAAAGCAGGCCCUGAAUUGUCUAGAGAGACUUGGUGGAGGAGGCCACGGCCCGCCUUGUCCCUGCCGGGUCCCGGCCAGGAUCUGAACGUCUAUGACACUCUUUCGAGCUGACACAGUGAAGAACAUAGAAGGAGAACUCACCCAGUCUGCCAGGGUCACAGAAUGAUCAUACUCAAGAUCUUCCUGGGGAGUCAAUGGCAAAUUUCACUGGGCUAUUUUACAGAUGAAGAAGGAACAUAAAGAAGGUUCUGGGACCCC
rnacentral:lncRNA from 10 species